CUUUGAGCUGAAUCUCUGCUAUUGCAACCCGAAAGAUGUUGAUCUUUACAAGAAGAGAAUGAAGCCCAGCGAAAGCUGGGUGGAGGUUCGACUUGCGUUCUAACGUGCAAAUUGAUGCUCUCAUUUUUGUAAAGGGGCGAAAUACUCAUCGAAACAUUUAGUAGCUGGUUCCUUUCGAAGUUUCUCCCAGGAUAGCUGUGUUUUAUUAAAGAGUCUUGCCAUGUAAAGCGAACGUUUAGAAGAUUUGGGGAUAACUUUUCCUCUGCUUAUUCACGAACUUUAAAUGGGCACGAAAAAAAGUUUACUUAAUUUUGAAACUUUUAUUGGAUCGAAAAAACAUUAGUGGCUCUUCUGGUAAGCAGGACGGGGCGAGGUGGGAUGCUCCAAGUGUUGUUGGUUAAAGUGCCAAAGUGUUCGCUAAUCUAGAUACCAAAAAGGCGUUUGUUUCAUAGACAGUUGGGCUGUGG
rnacentral:rRNA from 1 species